rnacentral:ncRNA from 1 species
UCGACACGAUAUCGAUGGCGACACCAGUCAACACACUGGUGUGUGGAAGCAGACUGAUUCAUUUCAGCCCGGUGCAAACCGCGAACAGGUCAGAGACCUGGGGAGCUUCGCAAUAACUCAACAUUUCGCCGCCCCGAUCGCACAGAUAUCUGUCG